UAACUAAAUCAAAAUAUGAUUUUGCAUUUACAGGUGAAUGUUCCGAAGACAAAGAAGACCUACUGCAAGAGCAAGGAGUGCAGGAAGCAUACAUUGCACAAGGUCACCCAAUACAAGAAAGGUAAGGAUAGCCUUGCUGCCCAAGGGAAGCGCCGUUAUGAUCGUAAGCAGUCUGGGUAUGGAGGACAGACCAAGCCUGUCUUCCACAAAAAGGCAAAAACUACCAAGAAGAUUGUACUUAGGUUGCAAUGCCAAGGGUGCAAACAUGUGUCCCAGCACCCCAUCAAGAGAUGCAAGCAUUUUGAGAUUGGUGGGGACAAGAAGGGAAAAGGAACUUCUCUCUUCUAGGAAGCUGCUCCUGAGAAAGCUUUUGAAACAUUGAAGGAGGAGGACCAGGAGGUGAAGACUGCAAUCAUUCUUUUGUUCUCAAGGAUGAUCUGGGAUAUGUCUACCGGGUUUGUGGCAUUAUAGAAAUGGAAAUUGAAACGAUACUUGACUUCCAGUGGAUAAAGUUAUGGUGUAUAAGCUAAUGAGAAGUAUCAUGCUCUGUUGAAUUGGAUACGUACUGUGGCACAAUGACUACAAGAACUUACUUCUAUGAAUCUCAGAAUUUCCAAGGGUAGACAAACUGAGGUAUCCCCAUUUUCUGGAAUUGAAAGGUCUCAAGAAGAUCUAACUGUGGCAGAACUAUAUGUACAUCCAAGGCAUAUGCAGCAAAUGAAACCCCACCAAAUUGAGGGUUUCAAUUUCUUGCAGAGGAACUUAAUAUCAGACAAACCAGGAGGUUGUCAACUGCCAACUUCAUAACUGAAGCUGAGUAUCUAGUAGUAGAAGUAGCCAUAGAAUACGUUUGGCUAAGAAAGUUCUUGACUGGUUUGAGAGUAGUUCUCAAGCUCGUUGAGUACCCAUCAUGUUAUAUUGUGGUAACAAGGCAAUAAUUGCAUAAGUGAAGGAGCUCAUGGCUCAUCAAAAGAACAAAAAAUGUAGACCGGAAGUACUAGCUCAUUUGAGAUAUCAUUCAGGGUGGUGAUAUAGUCGUAGCUAAAGUUGGCUCUGCAAAGAAUUCGUCUGAUUUCUUGAUAAAAGAUUUUUCACUUAUUAUAUUUGAGAGACAAGUUGAGAACAUGAGUGUAAAGUACAUGAAAAGUGUCUUUGAUAUACAAGUGGGAGAUUAUUGAAAA